AACGUAGGGGACAAGCGUUAUCCGGAUUUACUGGGCGUAAAGCGCCCGUAGGCGGCUAAUCAAGUUGGAUGUGAAAGCUCCCGGCUUAACUGGGAGAGGUCAUUCAAAACUGGUUAGCUAGAGGAUGGAAGAGGAGAGCGGAAUUCCCGGUGUAGUGGUGGAAUGCGUAGAGAUCGGGAGGAACACCAGUGGCGAAAGCGGCUCUCUGGUUCACACCUGACGCUGAGGGGCGAAAGCGUGGGGAGCGAACGGGAUUAGAUACCCCGGUAGUCCACGCUGUAAACGAUGGAUACUAGGUGUAGGGGGUCAUUAACCCCCUCUGUGCCGCAGCUAACGCGUUAAGUAUCCCGCCUGGGGAGUACGGCCGCAAGGUUAAA
rnacentral:rRNA from 1 species